rnacentral:rRNA from 1 species
AGUGAACGCUGGCGGUAGGCCUAACACAUGCAAGUCGAACGGCAGCACAGUAAGAGCUUGCUCUUACGGGUGGCGAGUGGCGGACGUGUGAGGAAUACAUCGGACUCUACUUUUUCGUGGGGGAUAACGUAGGGAAACUUACUCUAAUACCGCAUACGACCUACGGUUGAAAGCAGGGGAUCUUCGGACCUUGCGCGAUUGAAUGAGCCGAUGUCGGAUUAGCUAGUUGGCGGGGUAAAGGCCCACCAAGGCGACGAUCCGUAGCUGGUCUGAGAGGAUGAUCAGCCACACUGGAGCUGAGACACGGUCCAGACUCCUACGAGAGGCAGCAGUGGGGAAUAUUGGACAAUGGGCGCAAGCCUGGUACAGCCAUACCGCGUGGGUGAAGAAGGCCUUCGGGUUGUAAAGCCCUUUUGUUGGGAAAGAAAAGCAGCAGGUUAAUACCCAGCUGUUCUGACGGUACCCAAAGAAUAAGCACCGGCUAACUUCGUG